AUUGAACGCUGGCGGCAGGCCUAACACAUGCAAGUCGAACGAGUGGCGGACGGGUGAGUAAUGUCUGGGAAACUGCCUGAGGGAGGGGGAUAACUACUGGAAACGGUAGCUAAUACCGCAUACCAUCGGAUGUGCCCAGAUGGGAUUAGCGAGUGGGUGGGGUAAAGGCUCACCUAGGCCACGAUCCCUAGCUGGUCUGAGAGGAUGACCAGCCACACUGGAACUGGUCCACGGUCCAGACUCCUACGGGAGGCAGCAGUGGGGAAUAUUGCACAAUGGGCGAAAGCCUGAUGCAGCCAUGCCGCGUGUAUGAAGAAGGCCUUCGGGUUGUAAAGUACUUUCAGCGGGGAGGCGUUACCCGCAGAAGAAGCACCGGCUAACUCCGUGCCAGCAGCCGCGGUAAUAC
rnacentral:rRNA from 1 species